CCUACGGGUGGCAGCAGUGAGGAAUAUUGCGCAAUGGAGGAAACUCUGACCCAGCCACGCCGCGUGAGUGAAGAAGGAUUUCGGAUUGUAAAGCUCUAUCAGCUGGGAAGAUAAUGACGGUACCUGAUUAAGAAGCCCCGGCUAACUACGUGCCAGCAGCCGCGGUAAUACGUAGGGGGCAAGCGUUGUCCGGAUUUACUGGGUGUAAAGGGAGCGUAGGCGGUUGCGUAAGUUAGUAGUGAAAUCCCGGGGCUUAACCUUGGAAUUGCCAUUAAAACUAUUAGACUAGAGUUACGGAGAGGUAAGUGGAAUACCUAGUGUAGAGGUGAAAUGCGUAGAUAUUAGGUAGAACACCAGUGGCGAAGGCGACUAUCUGGCUGUACACUGACGCUGAGGCUCGAAAGCAUGGGGAGCAAACAGGAUUAGAUACCCUGGUAGUC
rnacentral:rRNA from 1 species